rnacentral:lncRNA from 1 species
AGUAACAGAUCUCCUUGUAUCAGGGCAGGCAGCCCAGUCACUAUCAGAAUAACCAACAACAGAGAAAUCAUUGCUGUCAGAAUAAAAGAGACCCAUAGAGGAAGUACUUUUAAGAUAUAUUAACACAUGGAGGGCAGCAGUCAUAUGUGGAAGUCUGGGACAUUUCAAAAAUUGACUCAGAUGUUGCACAAUAAAACAGAUGUCAGGCCUAGUAUAUGUCAGAAAUAAAAGCUUACCAACAAGGCUCCUAUACUGAUCAGGACAAAAUAAAAGGUCACCAGAAUCAGCAUGAAGUUUGGCAUUAAUGUCCAAAGGACAGACAACAGAAGAAGAUAAAAGGUCACCAGAAUCAGCAUGAAGUUUGGCAUUAAUGUCCAAGGACAGACAACAGAAGAGACACUGGCACAGUCAAACUGAUGCAGCAGGUCAGAGAUAUAUUUAUGUUGAUUAAGGAUCAUCCCACCAGGAACAAGUGAUAUCUCUAUGCCUAAAAAAUAAUGCAAAGACCCUAGGUCCUUAAUUUUAAACUAAUCAUCCAGAAACAGUUUCAGGGCACAAAUUUCAUCACUGUCAUUCCCAGUAAGAAUAAUAUCAUCCACAUAGACUGCUACUAGCACAAGGGUGUACCUUUGAUAUUAGAGAAUAAUCAUUCAAAGAGUGUUUAUAGCCUCUGGAAUAGAGGGCAGUAGACAAUUUGGCAUACCAUUGUCUGGAUGCCUGUCUCAGCCCAUACAGGGAUUUAUUCAAUCUGCAAACAAGGGGAGUAGAGGUAGAGGAGGCAGAAAUAGAAGCAGGAGCAGAAACUGUCAAACCUGGAGGGAGCUUCAUAUAAACCUCCUCAUCCAAAUCACCAUGUAAGAAAGCAUUAUUAACAUCGAGUUGAAAUAAAUUCCAAUGAUUUUUGACAGUCACAACAAUAAGACACUUAACAAUGCACAUUUUAACCACAGGAGAAAAAGUGUCAGUGAAAUCAAUACCUUCAACAUGAGUAUCACCUCUAAUAACAAGUCUAGCUUUAUACUUUUCAACACUGCCAUCAGCCUUGUAUUUGAUUUUAUAAACCCAUUUGCAGCCAAUGGGUUUCU